AUUUUUGUUAGAACAAAAUUUUAUUGGUUUUAGUCAUUACCUUUUGCAUCAUGAUUUAAUGAGUAAGUCUGCUUAUAGCAGAAUUUCGAAAGGCACCGAUACACUACUGCUUAAGUAUACGGGUAGUAUACUAGUUAAGCAAUAGUAGAAGUGAUAAAUUAAUCGGGGUGUCUUAUAACUAAUUACCGGCGCGAAAAAAUGUAAACGACUAGGGUGCAGAGAUUCUAGUUGAGAUAGCAAUAAAAAUAUAAUAAUAAAAAGAGGGUUUAAGGGUAACCAGCUUUGUUAGGUGUUAUAACCAAUUAUUAGAGUAAGAAAUAUUCUACUUAAUAGCCGGUGUAUUUAAACUGGGUAGUUAUACAAUAUGUUAUAAUAAGUAGUGAAAUACAUUAUUAAUUUCUCGUUUUAGUUCGAACUGUUUAUUAAAAACAUUUCCAUAGCUAUAUUUCUAUGGUAGGACCUGCUCAGUGUUAUAUUAAAUAGCCGCAGUAUCUUGACUGUGCUAAGGUAGCAUAAUUAAUUGUCUCUUAAAUAGGGAAUUGUUUGAAUGGUUGUUUUGAACUAAUAUAAUAUUAAUAAUUGUUUGUACGAAAUUAGAUUAUGGGUAAAGAUCCCCAUAGUAAAAUAAAAGACGGAAAGACCCCGAGAGCUUGAUUAAAAAAUUUUAUUUGGGGCAAAAUCUUUAGUGUAAAAGAAGUUUGAACCUUUGGGUUUAGUGGUUAAGUUACCUCGGGGAUAACAGGGUUAGAAAUAAGGAGAGCUCAUAUCGAUUUAUUUAGUUGCUACCUCGAUGUUGACUUAGAAGAGCUACUAGGUGCAGCAGCUUAGUAAGCAGGCCUGUUCGGCCUUUAAAUUUCUUCAUGAGUUGAGUUAAGACCGGCGUGAGCCAGGUCGGUUCUUAUCUUUAGAUCAGAUUACUUAGUACGAAAGGAUUGGUGAUUUUUUACUUU
rnacentral:rRNA from 1 species